UACGUAGGGUCCGAGCGUUGUCCGGAAUUAUUGGGCGUAAAGAGCUCGUAGGCGGUCUGUUGCGUCGGUUGUGAAAACCUGGGGCUCAACUCCAGGCCUGCAAUCGAUACGGGCAGACUAGAGUUCGGUAGGGGAGACUGGAAUUCCGUGGUGUAGCGGUGAAAUGCGCAGAUAUCAGGAGGAACACCGGUGGCGAAGGCGGGUCUCUGGGCCGAAACUGACGCUGAGGAGCGAAAGCGUGGGGAGCAAACAGG
rnacentral:rRNA from 1 species